GAGGAGAAAUUGGGAAGAGAUCGGAUCUCUUAAAUGAACAAUAUAAUUAACCAAGAACAUACUGGAGUUGAUUCCAAAUUACUCUGUGAAGAUGUUUGUAUAUCUCACCAAAACAGGGAACCUGCAGGUGCAAAAUGGUCCAGCAUUCAGAUUCUGUACAUAUAUAUCUGUCACCUGUAUGCACCAGGAUGGACUAUCAGGCUUCCUCAACCUGAUGGUCCCAGUUGUAAUGAGCUACUUAUGUUAUCCCCAGACAGGAAGCCACUACUAAUGCUAGUUAUAGAUGAAGGGGGUCGUAGUCCAACACAUCUGGAGAGUACCAGAUUGGGGAUAGAUAUAUCCCACAGUUGCUAUGAUUUGGAUGUGACAUAUCCAACUGGAGAAAUUUCUUAAUGCUGUUGAAAAGCCAGAUCUUAUUGCUGUUUUUUUCACUAUCUUUAGAAGGGGCUGUGGCGUUUGCCCAGGUCAUGAAUAUUAUAUGCUAUUUGCAUAGACCAAUAGGAGUGUUGGGGGGUGGAGUCAUGAGGUAUAAGAGACUCAAGAGGAGGAGGAGGAGUUUAGAUAGACAAGAGAAGGUUUAGAUAGGGUUUUGAGAUGGAGAAUUCGAGUGUUAGAGAGUUGAGAAAGUUUUGGAGUUCAGGUGGGAAAAUGGUGGUUGAGGGUGGAUAAGGGAGAAAGUUUGUUUAAGAGUUAACAACAUUGCUUGUUCUGUCAAUGCCUGUAUCAAUAAAUGAUUUCUAUUUGGUUUUUUAAAAUGACA
rnacentral:lncRNA from 1 species